UUUAUUAUGUUUAGUUAAAGUGCGACUUUAGGCAUGUGCAAUAAAAUAUAAAAAUGAAAACUACAAAUGAAUGAUAAAAUUCAACAUUAAUUUCCUUCAGCAAUAUACUCAGUCACUCAUAAGAAUGUAUACUGAUGCACUGAUGUGACUCAUGUUCUCGGUUUACAAUACAACAGUAACGGCACUCAAUGCACAACAGCACCUUUAGGUGGUGGACAAUGCCUAAUGCAACUGCAGAAGAGCCAACAUGAAUAAAGCCGUAAACGUAAAGAAAUUAAAUAUACAGAUUUUUGAUUGUCUGAUGCCUCUACUAAAAAUAUACAUAUUUUAAAUUCCCUUAAUGAGUGAAUUACAGAAUGUGUCACUAGGAAUGUCAUCAGGGACCUGCCCCUGUCUAUUCUAAAAAUCUAAUGAAAAAAAAAAAAGACUAAAGGCUGGAAUACACUACAUGAUUUAAAAAAAAAUCUGAACAGAUUGUUAAACUGCCGGUGCAUUGUACAUUUGCAGACUUUGAAUAGAGUUAAAGUUGGAAUAUACUAUACAACUACUGAUUUUCAAAUCUUUCCAAAAACACAAUAAACUCACUCAGAAAUGUGCCCCUUAUUGCUGACAAAUGAAAACAAUGUUCUAAAAUCAGCUCAAAAUAUCUAAACAUUUGAUAUUCUCAGAUUGGAUGGAAUCUUAAUUUAAAGCUAAAAAAAAAAUCAAGUAUGUGCCCAUCAUACACUACACAAUUUUCAGUGAAAUCUAUCAACUCUGACUGCCUAAAAUCAGUAGACUGAUGUCUCCAGACAGCAAAUCAG